UACGUAGGGUGCGAGCGUUGUCCGGAAUUAUUGGGCGUAAAGAGCUCGUAGGCGGUUUGUCGCGUCGGGAGUGAAAACCCAGGGCUUAACUCUGGGCUUGCUUUCGAUACGGGCAGACUAGAGGUAUGCAGGGGAGAACGGAAUUCCUGGUGUAGCGGUGAAAUGCGCAGAUAUCAGGAAGAACACCAAUGGCGAAAGCAGCUCUCUGGGACGGUACUGACGCUGAGACGCGAAAGCGUAGGGAGCGAACAGG
rnacentral:rRNA from 1 species